rnacentral:lncRNA from 1 species
GAAAGCAAGUGAGUCGGGAUAAGAUUCCAUUCGAAGUAACGUAACAGGAUUCGAUGUUGCACCAUCUUCCAUUCUUCUCCGGAUUUACCCGGUGAGGGUGGCGCGUGUGAGUCAACGUUGACACUUUCAAUGUGUGGAUCAUACCUUUGGCAUCCUGGGACAGUAGCCCCAGGUACUGAUGAAGUGACUCCCGGGUAGAGAAAGUGCUGGCAGAAAGGAACUCUCAAAGCAUGGGGUUUCGACGCCCGCCCUCUAUAUUCCUUCCGUAUCGAGACCUAGCCCAGAAGUUAAGACCUACCAACCAAUGGAUGAUCAUACCUUUGGCAUCAUGGGACAGUAGCCCCAGAUACUGAUGAACUGACUCCCGGGUAGAGAAAGUGCUGGCAGAAAGGAACUCUCAAAGCAUGGGGUUUCGACGCCCGCCCUCUAUAUUCCUUCCGUAUCGAGACCUAGCCCAGAAGUUAAGACCUACCAACCAAUGGAACCAGAAAGACCGAGUCCAGGCGUCCCAAUUCUGAUAUUCCUUUCCCUCCGUUGAUCGAUCAUUAAUUCACUUCUUUAGGAAGGAGCUGAGAGGGUUCGGACCGGGGUGAUUUCGCGAGUAGAUUAAUUUAAGACCUACCAACCAAUGGAAC